rnacentral:rRNA from 1 species
AGAGCGAACGUUAGCGGCGGGCCUAACACAUGCAAGUCGAACGAGAAUGAGGGGGCAACUCCUCUAGUAAAGUGGCGGACGGGUGCGUAACACGUGGGUAAUCUACCUUCCGGCGGGGGACAACAGUCCGAAAGGAUUGCUAAUACCGCGUACGUCAGCGAGACCUACGGGUCUUGUUGGGAAAGAUGGCCUCUCCUUGGAAGCUGUCACCGGAAGAUGACGCCCGCGGCCCAUCAGCUA